rnacentral:rRNA from 1 species
GAUGAACGCUAGCGGCAGGCUUAAUACAUGCAAGUCGUGGGGCAGCGCAGUGUAGCAAUACAUGGGCGGUGACCGGCAAACGGGUGCGGAACACGUACACAACCUUCCGAUAAGUGGGGAAUAGCCCAGAAAAAUUUGGAUUAAUACCCCGUAACAUAGUGAUGUGGCAUCACAUUACUAUUAUAGCUACGGCGCUUAUCGAUGGGUGUGCGGCUGAUUAGAUAGUUGGCGGGGUAACGGCCCACCAAGUCUACGAUCAGUAGCUGAUGUGAGAGCAUGAUCAGCCACACGGGCACUGAGACACGGGCCCGACUCCUACGGGAGGCAGCAGUAAGGAAUAUUGGUCAAUGGACGCAAGUCUGAACCAGCCAUGCCGCGUGAAGGAUUAAGGUCCUCUGGAUUGUAAACUUCUUUUAUCUGGGACGAAAAAAGGCGAUUCUUCGUCACUUGACGGUACCAGAUGAAUAAGCACCGGCUAACUCCGUGCCAGCAGCCGCGGUAAGAC